rnacentral:rRNA from 1 species
UACGUAGGGGGCAAGCGUUGUCCGGAUUUAUUGGGCGUAAAGAGCGUGUAGGCGGCCACACAGGUCUGCUGUGAAAACUCGAGGCUCAACCUCGAGCUGUCGGUGGAAACCGUGUGGCUAGAGUCCGGAAGAGGAGAGUGGAAUUCCCGGUGUAGCGGUGAAAUGCGCAGAUAUCGGGAAGAACACCCGUGGCGAAGGCGGCUCUCUGGGACGGUACUGACGCUGUAGAGCGAAAGCGUGGGGAGCGAACAGG